rnacentral:rRNA from 1 species
GGGGAUGAGCUGUGGAUAGGGGUGAAAGGCCAAUCAAACUCUGUGAUAGCUGGUUCUCCCCGAAAUGCAUUUAGGUGCAGCGUUACGUGUUUCUUGCCGGAGGUAGAGCUACUGGAUGGCCGAUGGGCCUUCACGGGUUACUGACGUCAGCUAAACUCCGAAUGCCGGUAAGUGAGAGCGUAGCAGUGAGACAGUGGGGGAUAAGCUUCAUUGUCGAGAGGGAAACAGCCCAGACCACCAACUAAGGCCCCUAAGCGUGUGCUAAGUGGGAAAGGAUGUGGAGUUGCUUAGACAACCAGGAGGUUGGCUUAGAAGCAGCCAUCCUUGAAAGAGUGCGUAACAGCUCACUGGUCAAGUGAUUCUGCGCCGAUAAUGUAGCGGGGCUCAAGUACACCGCCGAAGUUGUGGCAAUGAUCUUUUUUGGAUUGUUGGGUAGGGGAGCGUCGUGUAGCCGGUGAAGCUGCGGUGUAAACCAGUGGUGGAGGCUAUGCGAGUGAGAAUGCAGGCAUGAGUAGCGAAAGAUGAGUGAGAAACUCAUCCGCCGGAUGAUCAAGGGUUCCAGGGUCAAGUUAAUCUGCCCUGGGUUAGUCGGGGCCUAAGGCGAGGCCGACAGGCGUAGUCGAUGGAUAACGGGUUGAUAUUCCCGUACCGGUGAAAAACCGCCCAUACUGAUAUUGUGAUGCUAACCAUGCGAAGCAUGAUGUGCAGGCUUUUGUUUGUGUGUUGUGUGGGUUGUGGGACCCGAUCUUUGGAGGUAAACGUGUUAACAGGUGUGACGCAGGAAGGUAGCCAAGCCACGCGAUGGUUGUCGUGGUCUAAGCGUGUAGGGUUGUCGGUUGUUAAAUGCGCCGGCUGUGUGCCUGAGACGUGAUGGGACCCCGUUUUUGGGGGAUUUGGUGAUCCUAUGCUGCCGAGAAAAGCAUCGGCGUGAGGUUUUAGCCGCCCGUACCCUAAACCGACACAGGUGAUCAGGUAGAGAAUACUAAGGCGAUCGAGAGAAUCAUGGUUAAGGAACUCGGCAAAAUGCCCCCGUAACUUCGGGAGAAGGGGGACCUUGAGCGUGAUGGGCACUUGCUGCCUGGAGCGUGUAUGGGUCGCAGAGACCAGGGGGAAGCGACUGUUUAUCAAAAACACAGGUCCGUGCGAAGUCGUAAGACGAUGUAUACGGACUGACUCCUGCCCGGUGCUGGAAGGUUAAGAGGAUUGGUUAGCCUUUUUUGGCGAAGCUGAGAAUUUAAGCCCCAGUAAACGGCGGUGGUAACUAUAACCAUCCUAAGGUAGCGAAAUUCCUUGUCGGGUAAGUUCCGACCUGCACGAAUGGAGUAACGACUUCCCUACUGUCUCAACCAUGAACUCGGCGAAAUUGCAGUACGAGUAAAGAUGCUCGUUUCGCGCAGCAGGACGGAAAGACCCCGUGACCUUUACUAUAGUUUGGUAUUGGUGUUUGGUUUGGCUUGUGUAGGAUAGGUGGGAGACUGUGAAGCAUGGACGCUAGUUUGUGUGGAGUCGUUGUUGAAAUACCACUCUGGUCAAUCUGGAUGUCUAACUUCGGGCCAUGAUCUGGUUCAGGGACAGUGCCUGAUGGGUAGUUUAACUGGGGCGGUUGCCUCCUAAAGUGUAACGGAGGCGCCCAAAGGUUCCCUCAGCCUGGUUGGCAAUCAGGUGUUGAGUGUAAGUGCACAAGGGAGCUUGACUGUGAGACUGGCAGGUCGAGCAGGGACGAAAGUCGGGACUAGUGAUCCGGCGGUACGUUGUGGAACGGCCGUCGCUCAACGGAUAAAAGGUACCUCGGGGAUAACAGGCUGAUCUUGCCCAAGAGUCCAUAUCGACGGCAUGGUUUGGCACCUCGAUGUCGGCUCGUCGCAUCCUGGGGCUGGAGUCGGUCCCAAGGGUUGGGCUGUUCGCCCAUUAAAGCGGUACGCGAGCUGGGUU